GCCUUUACAGAACGAGCCUUGUAGUCGCGACGCAUCGAUCUACGAAGAGAGAAGUCCGAAAAAGAAAUUUCGUUACAGACAGCCUAAUGGUUUAUGUGCACGGAAGCGUUUAGCCUUUACUCGUACCGUAACGGCGACAUCGUCGACCAACUUUCCUUAUCGUAACCUGCGUAAAUAUUUCGAACAGAAGACAACUAUUUUAAAACGUGUGUCACGAUAAUAAUGGGAACAUAGUACAGUAGAACUUCGUAUAACGUGACGAUCCGAAGACCGCGCCCUCGUAUAACGCGAUUGCAAAAUUGCUGGUGAUUAUGUAGAAGAGGGCACGCCUUGUCAAUUUUGACGACCUUGAAAUUAGUAUGUUAUCAAGAGUGUUUUGUCCAAGAUCGUCACACUCGGACACUGGCAAAGGAAAACGUUCUAUGAAAUUACUGCGUGACAACGCUAGGGUACAUACUGCUUCUACGACAUACGAAAGACACAACAACAAGUCUCAACGAUUAGGACAUCUUGCAGUGGCCAGUUUACUCGCUAGACGUUACUUCGGAUCAUCAUCUGUUCUGAUCAAUGUAACACGUCUUAUCCGACACCCACUUGGAGCACUAUACGGCAUUUCAUCGUGAUGGGAUUCGUCGCUUGUCUGAUGAACUUUAGUUUCGCUGGAAAAUUUGGAUUAUUCACUUGUACACCUAUGUACCAAUACGUAUACCUAAAAAUUUUUGAUUUUAGAUUGUAGGGAUGAACAAACGGAUGUUUUGUUAAUCUCACAGACCAGCUCCAGUGUAAUUCAGUAAUUACUCGGAAGAGUUAAAAAAAGAAAAAAAAGAAAUCCACAAGUAAGGAAAAUCAGAAAAAACGAAGAACAGAGUUCCUUUAUUCUUUUGCUAAUUAUAAUUAGAAAUGACCACAGAACGUCUGCAUUGAGCUAAUUACGAAGGACAGUCGAUCACUGAAUAGCUUCGUUUACGCAAAGUUGUCAAUCUGCUUAUUGUAGGUAGUAAAACCAUCGAUGCAAAUGAAUAAAAGUAACAUAUGAUAUAAUGCUGCGAAUAAGAUAGUAAGAAAUAAGGAAGUUUUAUAAGAAUAAAGGGCGAAUUAAAAGGAGAAUUAAUUUGUAUGAAAGUUGAUGGAGCAAUUCGUUAAAGUAGAAUCUAUUUGGUCCCUUAUAUUUCUCUUGAUUUAUUAUCGAAAUGAUUUUCAUUUCCUUCGCUUAUUGAGUGUGCCUUUGCAUGAAAAUGAUUUAAGAAACAGAAAGACAUUGACAGCGCACAGUUAGUCUUAUUGAUAAUCUGGCUCCCUUUAAAAUAAAAUAACUUCUUUAAAAUAGUACCAAAGGACUUCAUUUUUUUUCUUUUUUUUUUUUUUUUUGAGAAGUUAGAAGGAUUAGUUUGAAGAAUCAGAUGACGAAUUUAAAAAAAAAACUUUUGAAAAAAUUCCAAUGGAAAUUACUGCAAAUGAUGGAGCUUUUCUUUAACAAAUGAAUUUAAACGCUUACUUUUGAGAUGAUUUAACACAGAUAUUGUAAUAACACAUUAUUGGACGAUCACGAGUUAAACAAAGUUAAGUUGCUAGUUUUCGCAUGAAAUAGUCAGUUAACGAUGUGUUAAGGAUUCAUACGAUAAUUGAACAAAAUAUAGAAAAUACAAAGUGGCUCGCGAAAGUAUUUGAAUGCAGAGACUUGUUACGAAGAGACAGAGACUUAUGAAGUAGAUAUAAAUAUCAUCUUUGAAGAAUGAAGAAACAGUAGACAGCUAUGUGUUGCACAUAAAACUGAAAUUUCACAAAAAGUAGAUAUGCGAUAUUUGUGCAGUCUGAGCCAUCGAUAUUCUUCCUCUUUUCCAAUCACGUCAGAAGCAGCUCGCCGCGAUUAAUCAUCAAACAAGAGGCCACCUGCCGUUUUUCAUUCCAUAUAUCGACCGAUAGAUUAGAGCGAGCGUGUCCUCUAAUCGCGAUCGAGCCUGAUUCUCCUUUCAGUGUUAACGGGCACGUGGCGAAUAGUCACGAGUAGCUAGGGGCUGUUCUUGUUCGAGAUCGUUUCGUGUGCCGAAUUAUCGCAAGCGUUCAACGAGGAACGCCACCUCCAUAGUGGCGAUGUAACCUCAUGACCCGAAUUUCCUCUCGUUGUACGGGACGACGAAUUUUGCAUACACCAACAAAUAAAUGUCCGUAACGCGUUGACGUACGCACACGCAACUCCGCCAGUAGAAUUGGUCAGUAAUUUUGCUGGUUCGCGUGAUUCGAUCUACGGAUGCAUUUUAUCAGCAAUGUUUGCACGCGAAUCUACUUUGAAAAAGUAAAGAGGCCACGUGCUUUAGAAACCUUCCUUUAAAGGUACGUUUAGGCCGAACGAGCAGAAGAACAUAGAGCGAGAGUAUUCGCGCUUGUAUUCGUUUAGCGUGAGCAGUAACCGAGCAAUUUGUUCGCAAACACGUUUAUAUUUCUGUUCCUCUUUGCUUUAUAUGCUAAAUGAUAAUUUACAGUUUGUUCGAUACACGAACAUUGGGCUAAGAGUGACCGAGAAAUGGGACGUUUUUGGAUUUCAGUUUGGUAACUUAAUGAUAAUUUAUGAUGAAACAUCGAUCACAGAAAAUUUUCAAUUCGUGCAGGCAGUUAGUCUCUGAGAUACAAGGGGCCAAACUGUUGAAUUACGGUUAUAAAAUUUAUUCCUUUUACGUUUGUUAAAAAGAGCUUGAUCCCAGGAUAGUGGAAAACGUCAAUCAACUGUUGGUUGUGUUGCAGUUACAUUGAGGCACUUGUAUGGUUCCUUGAAUAUGGUCAAAUAUCCGUGGGAUACAUAUACUCAAUUUCAAUAUAUAUAUAUAUGUAAUAAAUAAUUCCGGUCAUUUGCUUAGUUCUUACGCUUCAAGAAUUAAAAGUAGGACUGGGUCAAUCAAAACCUCGAAACCUUAAAACCUCACAACUCUUCUAAACCGAAAACUUUGUACUAUUUUGGUACUUCGAAACUCUCAUAAUCCAAAUAAAUAAUAAUUUAUAUAAAGCAAUGUGCUAGCGAAACGAAAUCGAUUGAUGACUCGACCGCACCAGAUCCUUCUGCUGGCGUGACUGGCUUUUCGGGCAAGAUGUUAAUGAGAAGGUGCCGGUGAUACACCUGCGCAGCUGCGGGUUCGAAACGCUCGACCGACCGGGCGCUAGAUGGUGUAAAGAAGACGACCACCAGCGAGCCCAGUCGUAGCACGCUGUCCGGUCGGACUGCUGUUCGUAGAAUUCCACAAUCACUGGAUUGCACCAGGGCGUAAUAGCAUGCCCUAUCGCAAUUUCCACGUAGAUUCUCCAGUUCUUGGGAAUUUCAGCUGAUUAACAGGGAAUUUUGUAUUAGUUUCUUUAUCUAUUUUUGGUUAUAUGUAUAGGUUAUAGGAACUGUUCACAGUUGUACAAUAAAAAUGAAUAGCAAAAAAUACAUGAUGUAGAAUUGAUAUAAAAAUUGAUUUUAAAGUUUUGUAAACUAAUCUGUGCUAAUACUUUUGUUGCUAUAUAUUACAUAUAAUACAUUUAUAUAUUACAUAUACAUCAGUUACAUUUGAAGUUGAAGUAGAGUUAAUUCAAAAAAUUUGAAACGAUUAUUUUUAAAAGAAAAUUAACUUUGAAAUAAUUGUUAAAUUUUAUUGGAUAUUCUGUGUAGGCUUCACAUUCAGAUAACAAAAAACAGAUUAUUCUUGAAAUAUGUAUAGAAGCGAAAAACUAGAAUAUAAAUUAGUAUAUGUACAUAACAACUACCUAUGUGAUUGUAGAAUUCCAUCAAAAUUGAUCUUUU